rnacentral:rRNA from 1 species
UACGGGGGGGGCAAGCGUUGUUCGGAAUUACUGGGCGUAAAGGGUUUGUAGGUGGCUUGUUAAGUCAGACGUGAAAUCCCUCAGCUUAACUGGGGAACUGCGUCUGAUACUGGCGAGCUUGAGUGCAGGAGAGGAACGCGGAAUUCCAGGUGUAGCGGUGAAAUGCGUAGAUAUCAGGAGGAACACCUGCGGUGUAGACGGCUUUCUGGACCAUAACUGACGCUGAGAUAUGAAAGCGUGGGUAGCAAACAGG